GAUGAACGCUGGCGGCGUGCCUAAUACAUGCAAGUCGAGCGAACAGACGAGAGUGCUUGCACCCUCUGACGUUAGCGGCGGACGGGUGAGUAACACGUGGGUAACCUACCUAUAAGACUGGGAUAACUUCGGGAAACCGGAGCUAAUACCGGAUAAUAUUUAGCUUCGCAUGAAGCAAUAGUGAAAGACGGUUCUGCUGUCACUUAUAGACGGACCCGCGGUGUAUUAGCUAGUUGGUGAGGUAACGGCUCACCAAGGCAACGAUACAUAGCCGACCUGAGAGGGUGAUCGGCCACACUGGGACUGAGACACGGCCCAGACUCCUACGGGAGGCAGCAGUAGGGAAUCUUCCGCAAUGGACGAAAGUCUGACGGAGCAAUGCCGCGUGAGUGAAGAAGGUUUUCGGAUCGUAAAACUCUGUUGUAAGGGAAGAACAAGUACGUUAGUAACUGAACGUACCUUGACGGUACCUUACCAGAAAGCCACGGCUAACUACGUG
rnacentral:rRNA from 1 species